rnacentral:rRNA from 1 species
CUUCUCCCCUUAGUAGAACGUCGCGACCCGUUGGGUGUCGGCCUACGGUACGGCAAGGUAGCCUCUAGCGUCGCGUUCGCGCGUACACUGUAGACCGCCGUUAACCCGGCCGGCUGCCCGGCGGUAUAAGUCAUCGAACCGAUUGACAAUGGUAACGGGCCGCACGAUAUCGAAUUGUUCAUCACAAUCGUGUUUAGUGCGUUCAGGCUCGUCGGCAGGUCACCCGUGCACGGAUUUACGAACCUAGUGUCGUAUUCGGAUCGGUUGUGACCGCUAGUCGACGAUGUCCUCGGACGGGCUCUUGCGUCAUACGUUCUUAACGUAUGCCGUUUUACCGGUCGGCGACGCUACUGCUUUGGGUACUUUCAGGACCCGUCUUGAAACACGGACCAAGGAGUCUAACAUGUGCGCGAGUCAUUGGGUUAUUGUUAAUGUGAAUUAGCCUAAAGGCGCAAUGAAAGUGAAGGUCGGCCCUAGCGUCGAUCGAGGGAGGAUGGCAUGGGUUCGCUCAGGUCCGCACUCCCGGGGCGUCUCACGGUCGUUUCGACCAUAGGCGCACCCAGAGCGUACACGUUGGGACCCGAAAGAUGGUGAACUAUGCCUGGUCAGGACGAAGUCAGGGGAAACCCUGAUGGAGGUCCGUAGCGAUUCUGACGUGCAAAUCGAUCGUCGGAACUGGGUAUAGGGGCGAAAGACUAAUCGAACCAUCUAGUAGCUGGUUCCCUCCGAAG